rnacentral:tRNA from 1 species
ACACAGCUCAGCUCAGUUGGUUAGAGCGUGGUGCUGAUAAUACCAAGGUUGCAGGUUCGAUCCCCGUGUGGGAUAGCUGUAUA